AUUGAACGCUGGCGGCAGGCCUAACACAUGCAAGUCGAACGAGUGGCGGACGGGUGAGUAACACGUGGGAACCUACCCAUCAGAGGGGGAUAACACUUGGAAACAGGUGCUAAUACCGCAUACUGAUGGAUGGACCCGCGGUGCAUUAGCUAGUUGGUGAGGUAACGGCUCACCUAGGCGACGAUCCCUAGCUGGUCUGAGAGGAUGACCAGCGACACUGGAACUGAGACACGGUCCAGACUUCUACGGGAGGCAGCAGUGGUGAAUAUUGCACAAUGGGCGCAAGCCUGAUGCAGCCAUGCCGCGUGUAUGAAGAAGGCCUUCGGGUUGUAAAGUACUUUCAGCGAGGAGGCGUUACUCGCAGAAGAAGCACCGGCUAACUCCGUGCCAGCCGCCGCGGUAAUUC
rnacentral:rRNA from 1 species